rnacentral:rRNA from 1 species
AGUUCCUACGGGAGGCAGCAGUGGGGGAUAUUGCACAAUGGGGGGAACCCUGAUGCAGCGACGCCGCGUGGGCGAUGGAGCGCCUCGGCGCGUAAAGCCCUAUCAGCAGGGAAGAAGAUGACGGUACCUGACUAAGAAGCCCCGGCUAAAUACGUGCCAGCAGCCGCGGUAAUACGUAUGGGGCAAGCGUUAUCCGGAUUUACUGGGUGUAAAGGGAGAGUAGGCGGCAAGGUAAGCGAUAUGUGAAAGCCUUAAGCUUAACUUAAGGAUUGCAUAACGAACUAUCUAGCUAGAGUACAGGAGAG